UCUCUCUCUCUCUCUCUCUCUCUCUCUCUUUUAGUUUUUCGAUUCAUUGUUUAGGAAAAUUUCACAUGGUUUUGCGAAUUGGUUAUGGCUUCUCUCUCUCCACUGGUAUAAAUUUUUAACACGGUUUAUCUGGUAAUGAAAAUUAUUCAGGUGUCAAUUUUUUAUUACAUAAAUGUCAAAUACUUGCAGAAGCGAUAAUUACACUCCCUUAAACGGGGAGGAACUCGGCACGAGACGUAGAAGAGAGCAUAGAAAAGAGAUGGGCGUUUUGAGAAGAUCUCAAUCCCAAAGCAUUCAACUAAACCAGAUGCAGAUACUAGGACAACAUGAUAUGUCAUUAUCAGAAUCUCAUGCAGAAGACAGGAAACGUAUUCAGAGGUUGGAAAAAGAGCUUCUAAACUGUUUUCAAGAAAUAGAUUAUCUUCAGGAUCAACUCGGUGCAAGGAAUGAAGAGGUGAACUACUUGGAACAGCGUGUUUGCAGCCUUGAAUUGAAAUUAGAAGGGAUGGAAGAUUUACAAGAGGAGGUUUUCAGCUUAAGGGAGGAGCUGAAAAGAUCCAAUUUAAAUCAAUUUUCCUUGAUCAAGGAACUAGAUACUAAAGAAAUAGAAUUAGAGAAGUCAGCUUUGUCCAUAGAGAAACUGGAGGAAUCAUUUUCAUCCAUAGCAUUAGAGUCUCAGUUUGAAGUAGAGAGUAUGAAGCUUGACAUGAUGGCCUUGGAACAGAGUCUUUUUGAGGCCAAGAAAAUCCAUGAUGAAACUCUUGAUGAAAAUAAUAGAAUGAGUAGAUCAAUUGAGGAGCUCCAGGUUGCAUUGCAGGAUGCCCAAAAAAUCAUCGUCUCUCUAAAUGAAGAAAAUAGGGAACUUAAAAAAAUGCUUGAUACUGCCCACAGAAACUCUAGAAUUUCUUCUCAAAAGGAUGAGUACUGUCUGGAAAACAAGGACAGAUCACAACUCAAGACUCAAUCUUCCUUGAGCCAACAAGGCAAUGACCCUUCCAUGCUGAAGGGCUCAAGAACUUCUGAAGAACGGGUGUCACAUGUUGGAAGAUUGGCAAUGAUCUCAGAUCCAGCUGCAGAUUUAAAAGGGAACAUGGAGAUGUCACAACAGAUUCAAGAAUAUGAACGUCUUAUCAAGAAACUGAAGGAAGAAUUGAGAGAAGAAAAGUUGAGGGCCAAAGAAGAAGCAGAGGACUUAGUUCAGGAAAUGGCAGAGCUGAGAUACCAAUUUACUAGUUCUCUAGAGGAAGAAUGUAAGCGCCGUGCUUGCAUUGAACAUGCAUCCUUGCAAAGAAUUGCCGAGUUAGAGGCUCAGCUUCAGAGAGAGCAUAGAAACCCUUAGUUGCUGCCAGGCAUCUCCCUGAAACAGAGGCUGACACUGUUCUAAGUCAUUCAGGUAGAGAAUGACCUCAAAGGGUUUAUAGUUCUGGAAAGCAUCCUGGCAAGAGAAUUGUUAUAGUUGGACAACAUUGUCCCCUUGCCCCCACUAUUUUUUUUCUCUUUCUUUUUCUUCUGUGAUGGAAGAUUUACAUACGACAUCUUCUUAUGCCUUCUAUCGAAUCAAAGUGGGUAUGUAUAGAAGAACAGGGAACGAAUUGAGAGAAGUGCUUAAGGAUGCUUGGAGAUAUUUUCUUUCUUUCCUUUUUUGUGCGUUUUGCGGGAAUGGAGGGGAGAGGAUAAGAAUUGUACAUGAUCUCUACCUAUGAGUGCAAUUGGCAUAAUUUUACCAGUUUAAAUUCAAUUUAUUUAUUUUUUUAAAACGAAUGAUUCUUGGCAAACAGGUUUUGGAAUCACAUAUUUAUUUUAUUUUAAGAAAUGCUCGUUUUUUAAACAUUCUUUUAAGAGAUUCAUAAAAAUCGGUGAUUUUUCUUUUAAAAAAUAGAUGCAUGUUAAAGUAAAAUGGCUUUCGGCAAAUUCUUAAGAAAUUAAAUCUAAAUCAACCUAGUGUGGCACGGUUAACAUGUAAUCUUUGUUCUUUAAGCAUCUAAUCGGGAAUUGGAUCUCCUCCUCCUUUAUAUGUAUGAAAAAAACAUUUUGUUGGUACUAGAAGUCAUAUCUUAAAAUGUAUUAAAUAUAGAAUUAUUGAAGCAUUUGAAAUUUCAGU